AUUGAACGCUGGCGGCAGGCUUAACACAUGCAAGUCGAGCGGAGAUGAGGUGCUUGCACCUUAUCUUAGCGGCGGACGGGUGAGUAAUGCUUAGGAAUCUGCCUAUUAGUGGGGGACAACAUUCCGAAAGGGAUGCUAAUACCGCAUACGACCUACGGGGGAAAGCAGGGGAUCUUCGGACCUUGCGCUAAUAGAUGAGCCUAGGUCGGAGUAGAUAGGUGGUGGGGUAAAGGCCUACCAAGGCGACGAUCUGUAGCGGGUCUGAGAGGAUGAUCAGCCACGCUGGGGCUGAGACACUGCCCAGACUCCGACGGGGGGCAGCGGUGGGGAAUCUUGGACAAGGGGGGGAACCCUGUUCCAGCCAUGCCGCGUGUGUGAAGAAGGCCUUUUGGUUGUAAAGCACUUUAAGCGAGGAGGAGGCGCUCUAGGAGAAUACCCUAGAUGCGUGGACGUUACUCGCAGAAUAAGCACCGGCUAACUCUGUGCCAGCAGCCGCCGUAACAC
rnacentral:rRNA from 1 species